UGUAUCCCUUCUCCAUCAGCUCUUCUUGGAUCUUCAGUGGCAAGGCUCUCAAAACAAUAUCCCCAAUAACAUCUAAUCAAACAGAACACAAUUAAAAGGUAACAAGAUAUGAUCAGGAUGAACUCAAUUAAAAGGUAACAAGAUAUGAUCAGGAUGAACUCAAACCAAAACAAUCAAGCAAAACACUAUUCAUAUAUACCUCAAAAAGUUUAGUAAUGUUAGGAGUCCAUCAAAGUACUAUUUCCCAAAAAUAAAAAAAUAAAUAUAGAACAGCAAA